rnacentral:lncRNA from 1 species
UGGGACCGGGGUCCAGUGCGGAGUGCCCUUCCUCCUGGGAAACGGGGUGAGGCCGGAAAGGCGGCCGGCCGCCCCCUCGCCCGUCACGCAACGCACGUUCCUGGGGAACCUGGUGCUAAAGCAUUCGUCGACGACCUGCUUCUGGGUCGGGGUUUCGUACAUAGCAGAGCAGCUCCCUCGCUGCGAUCUGUUGAAAGUCAGCCCUCGACACAAGGGUUUGAAGAAAGAAAAAAUAAGA